CACGUAGGGGGCGAGCGUUGUCCGGAUUUAUUGGGCGUAAAGAGCUCGUAGGCGGUUCGGUAAGUCGGGUGUGAAAACUCUGGGCUCAACCCAGAGACGCCACCCGAUACUGCUGUGACUUGAGUACGGUAGGGGAGUGGGGAAUUCCUGGUGUAGCGGUGAAAUGCGCAGAUAUCAGGAGGAACACCAGUGGCGAAGGCGCCACUCUGGGCCGUAACUGACGCUGAGGAGCGAAAGCGUGGGUAGCAAACAGG
rnacentral:rRNA from 1 species